rnacentral:rRNA from 2 species
CCGGCGCGGGCGCAGGAUAUCUGAGAGGAUCUGGCCUUAGUACGAGAGGACCGGGCUGGACGGGCCGCUGGUGCACCGGCUGUCAUGCCAAUGGCACAGCCGGGUAGCCAAGCCCGGGAGGGAUAAACGCUGAAGGCAUCUAAGCGUGAAGCCCCCCUUGAGAUUAGAUAUCCCCGGAGGCAAUCCGGUAAGGCCCCUCAGAGACGAUGAGGUGGAUAGGGCAGGUGUGGAAGCAUGGCAACAUGUGGAGCUGACUGCCACUAAUAGGCCGAGGGCUUAACCA